rnacentral:rRNA from 1 species
UACAGAGGGUGCGAGCGUUAAUCGGAAUUACUGGGCGUAAAGCGCGCGUAGGCGGCUUUGCAAGUCGGGUGUGAAAUCCCCAGGCUUAACCUGGGAACUGCAUUCGAGACUGCAUUGCUAGAGUAUGGGAGAGGGAAGUGGAAUUUCCGGUGUAGCGGUGAAAUGCGUAGAUAUCGGAAGGAACAUCAGUGGCGAAAGCGACUUCCUGGACCAAUACCGACGCUCAUGUGCGAAAGCGUGGGGAGCAAACAGG